CGGGCCCGCACAAGCAGCGGAGCGUUGUGGUUUAAUUCGAUGUUACACGAAGAACCUUUACCAGGGUUUGACAUGCAAGUGGUAGGAACCGAAGGUGACGACCCUUCGGGAGCUUGCACAGGUGCUGCAUGGCUGUCGUCAGCUCGUGUCGUGAGAUGUUCGGUUAAGUCCGCUAACGAGCGCAACCCUCGCUGUGUGUUAUAUGUGUCACACGGGACUGCCGGUCUUAAGCCGGAGGAAGGUGAGGAUGAUGUCAAGUCAGCAUGACCUUUAUAUCCAGGGCUACACACACGCUACAAUGGUCUGUACAAUGGGUAGCCAAGCCGCGAGGCGGAGCCAAUCCUGAAAGCAGGCCUCAGUUCAGAUUGCAGUCUGCAACUCGACUGCAUGAAGCCGGAGUUGCUAGUAACCGCAGGUCAGCAAUACUGCGGUGAAUACGUUCCCGGGUCUU
rnacentral:rRNA from 1 species